AUCUUGGUGUCAUGAACGG
rnacentral:snRNA from 1 species